rnacentral:rRNA from 1 species
UAGAGUUUGGAUCCUGGCUCAGAUUGAACGCUGGCGGCAGGCCUAACACAUGCAAGUCGAGCGGUAACAGGAGAAGCUUGCUUCUCGCUGACGAGCGGCGGACGGGUGAGUAACGCGUGAGAAUCUGCCCAUUUGUGGGGGAUAACUUGGGGAAACCCAAGCUAAUACCGCAUAAUCCCUACGGGGGAAAGCAGGGGACCUUCGGGCCUUGUGCAGAUGGAUGAGCUCGCGUCGGAUUAGCUAGUUGGUGGGGUAAAGGCCUACCAAGGCGACGAUCCGUAGCUGGUCUGAGAGGAUGAUCAGCCACACCGGGAUCUGAGACACGGCCCGGACUCCUACGGGAGGCACGCAUGUGGGGAAUCUUGGACAAUGGGGGCAAUCCCUGAUCCAGCCAUGCCGCGUGUGUGAAGAAGGCCCUAGGGUUGUAAAGCACUUUCAGUAGGGAGGAAGGC